UACGUAGGGUGCGAGCGUUGUCCGGAAUUAUUGGGCGUAAAGAGCUCGUAGGCGGUCUGUCGCGUCGAUCGUGAAAACUUGGGGCUCAACCCCAAGCUUGCGGUCGAUACGGGCAGGCUAGAGUUCGGUAGGGGAGACUGGAAUUCCUGGUGUAGCGGUGAAAUGCGCAGAUAUCAGGAGGAACACCGGUGGCGAAGGCGGGGUCUCUGGGGCCGAUACUGACGCUGAGGAGCGAAAGCGUGGGGAGCGAACAGG
rnacentral:rRNA from 1 species